UAUAAGAGAAAUUGUAAGUGAUAAUAUCUGAGGAAGAUGGUUCUGGACAUAAGCACGCAGGCGAUAGAGGCAAAUAUCAAUAAAAUAUAUGCUAAGAUUGAAGAAUUUGAAGAAGAAUUAGAGGGGAAUGCCGAUUAUGAAACCUGCAGUAAAAUUCAGGCUGAAAUUAAUCAAAUGAGCGCUUAUCUUGGACAGAUAUUAGGCUUACUAAAGGAAGACCAAAGCCACAAAGAAAACUGAAACUAAGUCAUUGGGACCCAAAGAAGGCAAUACAGAACCCGAGAAAAAUCAUUGCCGAUCAAUGAUCGAAUGGAUCGAAUUCAGGCCCACUUCCACGUAAUCUUCAACGGACAGCACUAAGAAACUCUUAUACUCGUAUACUUCCAUGAACUAUCAAAAAUGAAACAAAUGGACAAAGACAGUGGCACGAAGGCAUCCAAAGCCAGAUACAAAUCUGAGCCGAUCGAUCAGUGGAUUAUAUUCAGGCUUACUUGCACGUAACCUUCCACGGAAAACACUAACAAGUUCUUAGAUUCGUACUACCACACAACAUAAAGCAGUUUAUUCCUUUAGAUACUAGUAAUAUACGUACAGUAUUAUGGCGGACAACAGAGAAAAUUUUUGAAUGGAACGGAUGCCUGACUCCGAUUACUGCAAUAAAUAGCUCAACUAUA